AUACGAAGGGGGCAAGCGUUGUUCGGAAUAACUGGGCGGAAAGCGCACGUAGGCGGAAUGUUAAGUUAGAGGUGAAAUCCCAGGGCUCAACCCUGGAACUGCCUUUAAUACUGGCAAUCUAGAGACCGAGAGAGGUGAGUGGAAUUCCGAGUGUAGAGGUGAAAUUCGUAGAUAUUCGGAGGAACACCAGUGGCGAAGGCGGCUCACUGGCUCGGUACUGACGCUGAGGUGCGAAAGCGUGGGGAGCAAACAGGAUUAGAAACCCUAGUAGUCC
rnacentral:rRNA from 1 species